GGGGAGUUAGCUCAAUUGGUAGAGCACCUGCCUUGCACGCAGGAUGUUAGGGGUUCAAGUCCCCUACUCUCCA
rnacentral:tRNA from 1 species